CUUGUGUCUAAUUUAAAGAGGGACUAUCACUUCUCUUGAAAUACCCUGUAUCUAUUUUUUUUACAUUGUUUUACAUAAUGCUCUGUGUUUUUUUCCCCACCAUAGAAAUCUAUAAUAGGCAGAGUUUAUGAUAAUUAGUAAUUCAAAUAAGUAAGGAAUCACCGUAGGGACCAGUUAUUACAACAUUAAUUAAAGUAACUCUGUCACUCCAAACUUACAUUUCUCCAAUUGUUUCCUCUACUGUUUUUUUUUUCUUGUAAAAUACCUA